CUGGCUCAGCAGGCAGAAGCUCUCAGGACUGAUUCCAGCAGUGGAAAUGGUAGGAUCUGCAGCCAGUGGGCAGCCAAGGCCCUGGAUCUAAAAUCUGUGCCUCACAUUGCCAACCUGGAAAAGGGCAUCUUAUUCUCCUGGGCCUGUCCACAUGGCUUGACUUCCUCACACAAUGGUGGCUUCUGAGAAGUGUGACUUCUUAUUCGGUGACUCAGAGUUCCAAGAACUGAGGUCCCAAGAGCUUGGAAGUGAACGCUGCUGGCCUUUUAAGACCUGGACCUAGGCAUUGCAUCCCAUCACUUCUCCCACAUUCUUUUGGCCAGUGUAGUCACAGUGCCUGCCCAGAAUCCAGGGCAGAGGACGCAAUACUCCGAAUCUUGUUGGGCAAGUGCAACAGGUAAUGAUCUGUGGCUGUCAUCUUUAAUCUACCCCACAGUCCUUUCAAUAAGGUAUGGGAGAUUGUGUUGCUACACAUCCUGUUAACAUUUAUUGUCAAAUUUCAAAAUUUUUUUGCCAACCUGGUGGGCAUGAAAAGACAGAAUAUUUUAGAACAUCAUUUAUUGAAUUUUUACUGUGCCAUAGGAACAAGGAUGAAUGAUGGUAAUUUUUUUCUUCUUCAUUUAAAUCUUAACCACAGACAUGAGGAGUAGAUAUUAUUACUUUCACAGAGGUUAACUAACAUGCCAGAGGUCAUAGAACAAACAAAUGCCAGAGUGUAAACUGGAACAGAGAUUUACCGCACUUCUAAGCCUGUGCUGUUAAUUUUUCCUUCUUAUCCCAAGAUGGGAGCUGGAAUGAUGGUUUGAGUAAGAGCUUGAACAAUAAAGAAAACGUAAAACUAUCAAACCAUGAUAACUAAGUAAAACAAAAUAAUAAGAAAACAUGACUUAAACAUUUUUAUUCAUCUAUAUGGGAGUGCCGUCUCUUCCUUCCUAUCAAGCAAUAAAACAAAAAAUUUAUUCUAGAAGAAAAAGUCAAACAACACCUCCUCCAAAAUCUAAAACAUUUAAAUGAUUGAUAGGAAUUGGUCUUACAGUUUUUAAAGAAGGAUUGCGGAUGACCUCAGGCUGUGUUGAGCUCAGGUGAAGAGACAGAUUUAGUCUUUUUAUCAAAUCAAGGCAGCGCUGCAGCUUCUGUGGUGUGGAAAAAGUAACUUCCACCAUGCGUGGGUUCCCAGGCUACGGGAAAAACCUGGAGAUACACACAGAUGUCUUAUGGCGAUGUGACCUAAUACAUUUUCUUGUCCUGUUUUAUUCCUGAUAAGGAUUCCUUUGUCUCUGGGUAACAUGUAUCUUCUUGGAUGUAUCUCAGAAAUAACUCAUCAGUUCAAGACAAAAUGCUUUGUGCAACCAUGUUAGUUGCUUAAUGCCUGGACUAAUUUUUAAUGAAAUCAAACCACUUGGAAUCAGUUCUUAGGUACAGUACUUCCUCCCCAAACUUCAGUCCCUCUCCGGGACUGAAUUAAUCUUCCCCAUCCUGCUAUUCUUAAUAUGUGCUUUACCAGGUGUGCUUUUCUUGUUCUGAGAACCCUUUGAAAAGACUCAAACUCAUUUUCCUCACCUUCAUUGCAUUUCAUUUAAAAAAUAUAUUUAGGAAGAGUAUCACAGCCAUACUCUUCUUCAAGAAGGGGAUUCAUCCUUAAAAAAGCAUGGAUAAGUGAUACCAUUAUGGUGCAGACACUAUAGAGUGCACUUUUCCAAGCUAAAAUGGUCAUGGCAUCACGAGGUGGUACAAUCUUAUGGGAUCAGUGAGGUUUAUGUAGUCAUUGACUGACACUGUUAUGAGGUACACGCCUAUAUUAAAAGGAAUUGGCUCAUGUGAUUAUGGAUUUUACUUCAUCUGAUAUAUUGUAUUUCAUUUUAACCAGCUUCUAUUUCAUUAAAAAUUAGUCUUUUCAA